rnacentral:rRNA from 1 species
AGUGGGGAAUCUUGGACAAUGGGGGCAACCCUGAUCCAGCGAUGCCGCGUGAGCGAAGAAGGCCUUAGGGUUGUAAAGCUCUUUCGCCCACGACGAUGAUGACGGUAGUGGGAGAAGAAGCCCCGGCUAACUCCGUGCCAGCAGCCGCGGUAAUACGGAGGGGGCUAGCGUUGUCCGGAAUUACUGGGCGUAAAGCGCGCGUAGGCGGUCCACCAAGUCGGGGGUGAAAGCCCGGGGCUCAACCCCGGAAUGUCCUCCGAAACUGAUGGACUGGAGUUCGGGAGAGGAGAGCGGAAUUCCCAGUGUAGAGGUGAAAUUCGUAGAUAUUGGGAAGAACACCGGUGGCGAAGGCGGCUCUCUGGCCCGCAACUGACGCUGAGCGCGAA